ensembl:snoRNA
CAUCUGUGAUGAUCCUAUCCCGAACCUGAUUACUUUGCUGAAGAAACAAAUACGGAUCCGGAUUCUGAGAU